rnacentral:rRNA from 1 species
CCUGGUGGUUCUUGCGAGGGGCCCCAACCCGUUCCCAUUCCGAACACGGCCGUGAAAACCCUCAGCGCCGAUGGUACUUCGUCUCAAGACGCGGGAGAGUAGGUCGCUGCCAGGC